rnacentral:lncRNA from 1 species
CAUCUUUAAGAACUGCAGUUACUGAAUACAGCCCCUCAUCAGCGCUGAGGUUGGUCCACUUAACCUUUGGUCCACUUAACCUUGCUAUCAAUGUGGGCUCAGGGAAUGUGCCUGCCAGGACAGGAAGACAGCCUUGGGCUACCGGCUCCACCUGGCCAGCGCCCUGUUCCCACAGCAGGACCAGCUCCUUCCUAACUGCUUUUGUUUUGUCCUGGGACAGAGCCUGGAUUUUGGGUUAAGUUUGUGCCUUCCAGGCUGGGGAAGAAGCCAAAACUUCUGUUUCCCAUGCAAAACGCCACCACACACCUAGGGAGGAUGUUUGUGUUCCACGGAGGUCGCCACCCAUCUGUUUUCAGAGUAAACGUUUGUGUGAGCGCACUCUGGCGGGGAGUCCCGAGAGCGGACCCUCUUGCCACUGCACCCAUAGGUGCGGAACGAACCUGCUGCCCCGACCCUGCGGCUCCGACCGGGGCCGAGCAGCGAAGGACCACCCUGGUCUGGUCACCUACGAUUCUGGGUCCAGCUCAGCUGGUGACCUUGCUUAGGCCACACCCCUCUCUGAGCCUCCAUCUUCCCUUCAGCAGCUGUGUAGGGUGAACUUAAUGUUGUGCAAGAUCAUGUCCAGCUCUGGAAUUUUAGGAUUAUGAGCUUAUUUACGAUCAGCCUGUUGAUUCUACCUCUAAAAUAUAAUCUGAACCCGUAUACUCCCCUCCAUGUCUCCUGGUACUCCAUGAUCUUGUCGCUUCCUGCCCGAGUUCUGCAGUUUAGAAUAAACCCAGGCCCCUCUCCGCGGACCCUCUGAUGGCAGACCUCCAUCCCUCUGCACAGGGCCUCACCCACCCAGCCACGUGCUCUGCUGUCAGCCCCCCGGAGCCCCUGGGAUCUUUGCACCUGCUGUUUUCUCCGUAGAGAGCUGCCCUCCCUCCACUCCUGGACGGGCUGGCUCCUUCCUUCCUUCCCAUCUUUCAGAGCUCAGCUUCAAGUGUUGGCUCCACUGAGAGGCCUUACCCCCAAGUCCCUUUCUAAAAGAACUGUUCCUCCAUCAUUCCACCUCUCACCCCAUUUUUUUCCUAUAUUUUGUAGCUCUUUCCUUGGGUGGAUCUGGUUUUGUGUUAGUCUCUUGUCACCUCCACUAGGCAGGGACCUCCCAGGGCAGGGACGGACGCACCUGUCCCAGUCAUGGCUGAUCAGCGAGAGCCAAACAUAUCAUAGCACAUGGGGUACUGUAGGUGUUCAAAGGAUGCUGGCUGAAUGGAUGGAGACUUCCUUCAUAGAGCCCCAUUUUCCUUCCUGAUUUCUUAGUCUCAGUUCCCAUUUUCUCUCAAAGAUCCAGGGGUCACAAUGAGAGUGAUUAUAAAACAAACUACACAUGCAACACGAACUCCUCAGUCAAUCCCAAGAGGGCUCUCACUCCACACUUCAUCAUCUGCCCUGUGACCUCAGAUUAAAACUCAGGCUUAACAUUUCCUGAGGCCCUGCUCGGUGCCAGGUUCUGGGUCUGUGCUUUCCAGUUGUUUUAUGUAUCCUUGAUAACCUCUGUAUGGUUGGUGGUAAAAUGGAGAGAUGUAUUUUCCUGCGGGGAAACUGAGUCCUGAGAAACGAGCUAGCCCACAGAGAGCUGGUGGCUGGUAGAGCCCGGAUCCAAAAUUGGGAGCGUCUUGCCCCAAGUCCAGUGCUGUUUCCUUUAUACCCAAUGCCACAGAGCCAAAGUGGUACCUGGCCGAGAUCUGGCCCUGAAUGUAGAAGAGGCCAGGGAAAGGUGGAGGGAAGAGGGCAUAGGUCCCAGUGUGGGAUUCCAGAUGACCCCUGUUGUCCAGCUGGCUAGGAGAUAUGUGGACCCCAGGGCUGACAGAUGUUCCUGAGGGCCACAGGGAACCUGACGGAAGGUUGGUGGCAUUUCUAGAGGCAAGUGGUCAGAGAGAGCAUGGGGGUUUUGUGGGGACUGGGAAUAACCGAGGGCCUCGUGGCAGGCUGGGUGGCACUGCCCUCUCAACGCUGACCUGUCAGCUGGUUCAGGAAGGCCUUUCUGAGGCCAGCACAGACUCUAUCACACCAUGGACCUUCAAGGGAUAGCUCUCUUGGCAAAACACCCUUUUGCCAGACCUAAUUGCCAGAAGCUGCAGUGGAAAUGAGAACCCAGGACAUGGGACGAGACAGACCUAUGUGUGGAUCUCAGCUCUGCCAUUUGCUAGCUGUGUGGCCCUGACAGUCACCUGCCUUGUGAGCUCUGAGUUCCUUAAGUGUAAAAAUGCCAUGGUAUGGUAGAGAGGAAAGAGACUCAUAUUUGAAUAUGACACAGAAUAGGCCCUUAGUGCCAGCCUCAGGGGCUCACACCUGUAAUCCCAGCACUUUGGGAGGCCAAGGCAGGCAGGUUGCUGAAGCCCAGGAGUUCGAGACCACCCUGGUCAGUGUGAUGAAACUCCGUCUCU